ACGGGGUGCAGCAGGCGCGAAACCUCCGCAAUACACGAAAGUGUGACGGGGUUACCCAAAGUGUUCUAUUUAGAACUGUGGUAGGUGAGUAAUGUCCCCUACUAGAAAGGAGAGGGCAAGGCUGGUGCCAGCCGCCGCGGUAAAACCAGCUCUUCAAGUGGUCGGGAUAAUUAUUGGGCUUAAAGUGUCCGUAGCCGGUUUAGUAAGUUCCUGGUAAAAUCGGGUAGCUUAACUAUCUAUAUGCUAGGAAUACUACUAUACCAGAGGGCGGGAGAGGUCUGAGGUACUACAGGGGUAGGGGUGAAAUCUUAUAAUCCUUGUAGGACCACCAGUGGCGAAGGCGUCAGACUGGAACGCGCCUGACGGUGAGGGACGAAAGCCAGGGGAGCGAACCGGAUUAGAUACCCGGGUAGUCCUGGCCGUAAACGAUGCAUACUAGGUGAUGGCAUGGCCAUGAGCCAUGUCAGUGCCGUAGGGAAACCGUUAAGUGUGCCGCCUGGGAAGUACGGUCGCAAGGCUAAAACUUAAAGGAAUUGGCGGGGGAGCACCACAAGGGGUGAAGCCUGCGGUUCAAUUGGACUCAACGCCGGAAAACUUACCAGGGGAGACAGCA
rnacentral:rRNA from 1 species